ACACACACACAGUCGCACUGUGGUCAGCAGUUCACCUGCAGUUCACGUUGACCAUAACAACGCCCCUGAGAAAGAGAGCAAAAGAGAGAUGUGGUAUCAAGAGGGAUUGGACGAGUGAAAAGAGGGAUGAGAAGAGGAGGAAAGAAGGGAGAGGUGGGAAGGCAAAAGUAAUAAUUUAGGCUUGUGGGAGCUCAGGAGAGGAAACGGUCAAAGAGAGUUUUCAGUCCAACUUCUGCCGAUGCUGCGGGUUCGCACAAAGGUGAGAUGGCUGAAUCCAAUUCCAUAAAGAAAAAAAGAAGAAGAAAAAGAAUAGUGGACCUUUUCGGGCAAAAAUUCAUCCAUUGUUCAGUUUGUUAUGAAAUUCACAAAGAAUUAUUCAAGGUGCAGGGCCACCAUCCUUUGACGGUCUUCUGUUCAAACAGAGACACCAGUCUGUCCGCCGGCUGGUCCAGCAGCUGCAGGUUACACUUCUCUGGAGACUUGGCCGGACGCAGCAUGUGGUUCAGGUCCAUCACCAGGGUUACAAGGACUAAGACUGCAUCUACAUUAAGUUAUUUUUGUGUAAUCACGUGUGUCUCUAAUGUGUUUUAAUGUAGCCGAAA